rnacentral:rRNA from 1 species
ACAUAUUUUAAUUUUUAAUCAUUUUAUUAAAUUAAAUAAAAUUACAUUUAAAUCCACUUUCAAUUAAUUAUUACAAAUUAAUAUUCAUUUAAAUAAAUUUAUUGUAAUCCAUUAUAUUCUUAAUUAUAAUCUGCAUCUUGAUCUGAUUUAAAUUUAUAUUAUAAUUUUUAAAUAUUAAUUUCAUUAAAAAAUAUUUUUUUAACAACGAUAUACAAAAUUAUAAAUUAAGUAAAUUUAUUCGUGGAUUAUCAAUUAUUAAACAGAUUCCUCUAAAUGAACUAAAAUACCGCCAAAUUAUUUAAGUUUCAAUAAAUAAUUAUUUACU